GUCUACGGCCAUGCCACCCUGAACGCGCCUGAUCUCUCUUGGAAGAUAAGCAGGGUUGGGCCUGGUUAGUACUUGGAUGGGAGACCACCUAGGAAUACCAGGUGCUGUAGGUG
rnacentral:rRNA from 1 species